GUUGGAGGCUGAACUGGACACAGAAGAGGCAGCAAUACCUUCAACAUCUAGUGGAAUUACAGCAAGAGAGAGUUCCAGAAACGUUUGGUUUAGACCUCACUGCGUCUUGUCAAGUGAUUCUGAUUAGAUUGGGAUCCGUAAAAACUGAAGACCUAUUUGGGAAGUCACAUUAGGACAUCAUCAUUUCUCUCAUGUUUUUUAUUAAAGCCAAUGGGUUUCUAGCAAGCCUGUGGACGCCUUAGGUAGCGCCUUGCACCAGGGCUUUUCUUUAUCCCGUUGCUAGAUUUAGUAUUUUAGAUGUUAAGGAUUCUGACAGGACUGAGGAAGCCUUAGGCAGCGCCUUGCACCAGGGCUUUUCAUUAUCCCGCUGCUAGAUUUAGUAUUUUAGAUGAUAAGGAUUCUGACAGGACUGAGGAAGUCUUAGGUAGCGCCUUGCACCAGGGCUUUUCUUCAUCUUUGUGUUUUCCUCUCAACUCCCCCAUGUUUCAAGGUGUAAUAGUGAUGCUUCCCUACACGCUGCUCUCCAAUAUAGUGAAUUAUUCUGUCCUGUUUCUCUACUAAUCCAGUCUCCCAGUUUUUAAUCUUUCAGGUUUUAGCUGCUCAUCGCUGGAUCCUUUCAUCGUUGUCCAUGUGGUUCCUGCCUUCUGGAUCCCUUGUUUUUCACACUGCUUGUUGGAUCUCGUCAGCCUGUAAAUCUCCACCUUCAUCACCACCAGUCAGAUGGAGGAAGAUAAGAGAACCCAGUUGAAAAAAAAUCAGAGCUUUGAUGAGUUUGAGCUGAUGGAAGGAGGAUCAGGAAUAGAGUAGAGGACCUGCUGAUCUACUGGUUCUAGUAGAUUUUAUAAAUGCAUCACUGAGACAAGACAACAGUGCUGGACCAAUCAGGAGAGAGAAGACACAGAGGACUGAAGGGACACAGAAAAUCCUGAGAUGAAGUUUCCUGAUGCAACGGGGGGACACCUGAGGACACAGAAUAAAGAGACAGACAUCAUGUUGGAUCUCCUCAGCCGGUAAACCUCCACCUUCAACACCACCAGUCAGAUGGAGGAAGAUAAGAGAACCCUGUUGACAAAAAAACUGACCAACAAUUAAAGCAGAAGACCUGCUCCACCUGCUGAUCUACUGGUUGUAAGAGAUUGUGGAAAAGCAUAACUGAGACAAGACAACAGCACUGAACCAAUCAGGAGAGAGAAGACAGAGAAAAUCCUGCUGGAAAUCCCGAGAUGAAGUUUCCUGAUGCAACAGGGGGAAACCUGAGGACACAGAAUAAAGAAGGACCAAGUGAAACUCAUGAAGAGGAUGGUCAGAGUUGUCCAUAGCUUUCUUGACUCUUAUGAAGAAUCCUUCUUUGCAUCAUCUCCAGAGGUUCCACAGUCGUCUCCAGAACAGAACCAGAACAAAUCCAGCCUUCUUUAUCAGAUUGUUGAGCCUUUUGAGGUUCCUGGCUCUGAUGCUGCUGCACCAACAGAUGAUAGCAGAAGAGAUGACACUCUUCUGAUGUGUCUUCUUCUUAGACACAUCAGACUUAAAGAUCUGCAGCAACUUGCUGCAAAUCUUGAAGGAUCGUAGCUUCCUCGAGAAGCGCAGUCUGCUCUGUCUCUUUUUAUAGACGGCUUCACUGUUGCGUCUCCAGUCCAGUCUGUGUUCCAGAUGAACACCGAGUCAAGAAUAGAUGAUUGUUCCCACACCAGGCCACAAAGUGAUCCACCAGAUCUCUGUACUCAGCCUCUUGUCUUCCUCUGAUACACACAACAACUGCAGAGUCGUCUGAGUAUUUCUGUAGAUGACAGAAGUCGGACUUGUGCGGGAAGUCCGAACAGUAGAGAGUGAAAAUGAAUGGUAGUCACAGAUGCAGGUGAUUGUUGAGGCCUCCACCUGUGUCUUCUGGAGUUUCUAACGGAGCAGAUCAGGCUGAAUUGUGUUCAAUGCACCUGAGAAGCAAAGACCCUGAUCCUCACUGUGCUGCCUGCUUUGUCCAGAUGACAGUGGGUUUGUAGAACCAGGUGUCUGAUCAACUCCAACUCCACGGUGAUAAGCAAACUGCAGGGGGUCCUGAUAUGUGAUCGUCUGCUUACUCAAGUGGGCCACCAGGAGUCUCUCCAGGACCUUCAUGAUGUGCGAUGCCAGGGCAACGGGUCUACAGUCGUUAUGACUGAUGGGUGACUUUUCUUCGGUACCGGAACCAGGCAGGAUGUCUUCCACAACAACGGAACCUCCUCUUGGGUCAGGCAAAGGUUGAAGAGAUGCUGCAGAAUCCCACAGAGGGACUCUGGGACCGACACCAUCUGGACCUGCAUCCUCGUUCCUGUUCAGUCUCUCCGGCUGCUUCUUCACCUGACUUCUAGAUACAGAAAGGUUGGAGGUGGAGGCAAAAAGGGAGCAGCAGCGUCUCCUAAUGUGGUUGAAGACAAACUGGUGGAAGCAGAAGAGUCCAUGACUGAGGUGGAAGAAGGAACAUCUGAGGCUUGACAGGAAAGCUGUGGGUCAGAGGAGGAUGAGAUAUCUGGCUGCAGACAGGAGAGGAUGAUGAUGAUGAUGAGCUUGUUCCUGGACUGAACCUGUUGAAGAAUGUGUUCAGCUCAUUUGCUGUGUCCAGAAACUAAUAUUGUUUAAAAAAAAAAGUCAUGGUAGCAUGUUUUUAUGCAAUAAUGUGUAUGUAAUGUUUGGAAUGAAGAAGAUAUGCUGCAUAAUCUGAUGUAAUUACUAAAGAGUUUUGUGUCUCGGUGCAAAAACACACAUUUUGUUCGUUUCUGAAGAGUAAAAAUUGAACAAAUGUGUUAAUCACUUAAAGAUUAAGUUUAUAUUUCACAGUCAUCACAAUGCUAAAGAAAAGUCUGACAACAGUGUGAAAAUUAUGUUGUGGAAAGAAGAUAUUAAAGAAUGUAAUAUAUUUUGCAGUGUCAUAGGUUAUUUCUAUGUUAUGAUGUAAUAUAAUACAUGUAUUUUUGGACUUAUUGUAUUCUGUUUUAUUUUUGUGUGUAACUUUCACUUGACUUGUGAAAACAUGGAAAGUAAUUAAGCUGAUCGUAGAGUAAAAUAACAUUUAAGUUGUAAGCAAAUUCAAUAAAAGCUUUUUUUGUCGUCA